rnacentral:tRNA from 1 species
GGAUGCUAAUGUUUUCCACGUCAGCAGGCGCCGCUAGCUCAGUUGGUUAGAGCAGCUGACUCUUAAUCAGCGGGUCC